AGUCAAAGGCUUCUUUCGUGUAGCUCCAACAUUUAAUGUGUGUAACUGCAACAUGUUGUUGAGGCAGGUUUGGGAAUAAAACCUAAAACUUUUCGCCCUGCCAAGUUAACCAGAGCACCCAUUUAUAACCGUAUCGAAGAUGCAUCACAGACUAGCUGUGCAGGUUUCAGACCGCGUUAGCGUACUGAAGGCGCCUGGCGAGCCCGACCCAACUCGAACCGACCCGCGGGUUAGAGUCGGGGCUGAGGGCUCGGAGUAGCACCCCCGCCCCGCCUCUCAAAAGGUGCCGUGUCGACUGGCACCAAAAAUCGCGGAUGUACAUAACAGCUCACAGGGCGCUGUUGCACCGCGUUGUUAUAUUUUGUUUUUGGCCGCGUGCGGGCUGUGAGUGAGUGCUAGAGAGUCAGACCGCGACCGCUCCGGGCUUUAGCACCCGCGGGUCGGGUCGGGUUUUAAUUUGCAGGCCCGUUGAUAACUCUAGACCGCGUUAAAACCUAAACAGGAUAUAGCUGGAGGACACAUGUAAUUUAAAGUUAUCAUUUCAGUGGUUUCAGGCUGGCUCUGCACGGGCUGGCUGUCUUUUGGCGCUAAACGCCGACCGAGUCCUCUGCCAGCAACUGGACUCUAGUCCACCUGGACGAGGUGGUCUCGGUCGAAGGAGGCACGCCGCUUCCUUGCCUGUUUUGGUGGCUUCGCUUUGUAAACGCAAACUAUCCGAAAUGUGAAACAAUGUAUGAAUUAUCGCAGGUAGUGCGGACUCAGCGGACUAUGUGGCGUGAACACGACCUCCCUCCGACUGCUGUGAGGCGUCUCGUCUCUCGUCUCUUUCUGUUUUUAAUGUCAUAAGCUUUAUCGGCAUGCAUGGAAGCAUGGGAAACAACUGAUCAAGAAAAGAGGGGAGAAUGAGUGUGGGAGCCACAGGAAUGCACGUGUGAAGGAGAAAGAUAUAGGGAGGACGAGCAGCAAAGGGCAGCAAGCCUCACUUGAACCCAGAUCACCAAGGGAAAAAGAGAGCCUCACGGCAUAAUCUCCAUCCUGUGAGCCACUGGUGCACCCCAUUUAACCCACAGUAAGGUAAAAGUGUAUGGAAUGGCAGUGUAAGCUCUGCACAUUUGUGGCAUCAUCGAAGGGGGGACUUCUUAAACACUAUCGACUGAAACAUGGACAUUUUGGUCAUGGACAUUUUCUGCCUUGUAUUCAUUUGAACUGUUCGUGUUCCUUUAAAACUUGGGGUGGCUUGCGUACACACUUGUAUAGAGCUCACAAAUCAGAGGAAACUGAAAAUCAACGAGAUGUGAUAGCUUUUAAAUGUAAAAUUUGUGACUCAUGCUUUCCAAAUACAAAAGAUUAUUUUCAACACAUUAACUCUCAUCUGAAAAGACUAGAAACAAUAGAGUGUGUGUUUGAUGGUUGUGAGUUCAAAACAAACAUAUAUGGCACUUAUGCUACUCACAAAAGUCGAAAGCACCAAUCUUACUCAUGUGAUGACUUAAAGACUGAUGUGAUUGUAAAACUUCCUAUUUCUACCAGUGUUCAACAGAAAGAAAGCCAUUUUUCAUCAGUGGAAUCAACUGAUGAUGUGGAAUUGGAUACUUCUGUAGAUUUGGAUUGCGAAGGACAUACAAGUGCAUUUGUGGAAGUAAUUGGUUCUCUCUUGUUGAAGUUAGAAAGCAUUUAUCAUGUCACAGGUAAAUGUUUAGAUGACUUGGUGGAACAGCUCCAGUUUAUUUGCACAUCAUCAUCGCAGUACAUUCCAAAUUUAGUGAGAGACAUUUUGACACAGAAUAACUGCACUGUUGAUGAAAAUCUUAUCAGUGAGUUAGUUGAAAAAUUACAACUCUGUAAUCCUCUAACUAAAGCGUUUGGUCCUGAUGGUCCUUUUCAUUCUAAGUAUAAGAGGGAGAAAUACUUUAAAGAAAACUUCCAUUUUAUCGAGCCAGUUGAAUAUAUAUUUGAUCCACUGGACAGUUGUUCUUUUCAAUAUGUACCCAUCCUACAAUCCUUACAGCAACUGUUAAACAAUAAAGACGUUGUAAGUAAAAUACUGACAAGACAUUCAGGCAAUGCAUCACAGCUUUCAUCCUUUCGAGAUGGCAAAUAUUUUAAGUUAAAUGAGUUUCACACAGAUGGGGAGCUAAGAAUUUCACUUAUACUUUAUGUGGAUGAUUUUGAAAUAUGUAAUCCACUUGGAACCUCACGGGAAAAACACAAAGUGACAGCCGUGUAUUGGCUACUUGCAGAUGUGCCAUCAGAAUUGAGAUCCCAAUUAACAUCAAUUAAUUUGGCACUUCUUUGCAAAGCUAAUGAUGUUAAGAAAUUUGGCUAUGAAACUGUCCUGGAGCCUCUCUUGAAGGACCUUAUUACAUUAGAGGAAGAAGGCAUUUUUUUUCCUGCCAGUGGCAAAAAUAUCAGGGGAACAGUUUUUUGUGUUUCAGCGGAUAAUCUAGGUGCUCAUUCCUUGAGGGGCCUGGUGGAAAGUUUUACUGGGCAUUACAUAUGUAGAUUUUGUAUUGGGGACCAUUCAGACUACCAGCAAAAAGAGGUGCAUUCUGGGUUUUUUCCACCAAGAACAAAGGAGAAUUAUACUUUACAUGUUCAAUCUGUAAAGGAAAACCCUGAUCUGGUACAUUGUUACAGUGUAAAGAAGGUUUGUCCCUUAACAGAGAAAUUGAAGCAUUUCCAUUUUGUGACAGGGUACCCACCAGAUGUGCUCCACGACCUCUUGGAAGGAAUAAUACCUUUGGAGUUGGCACUAUGUUUUAAUGCGUUUGUAAAAAAGCAGUAUUUCACUCUUUUACAACUGAACGAUUUGAUUACCGAGUUUCCGUAUAAUUGGACCAAUAAAACUGACCGCCCCCAACCCAUCCCACUAAAUCUUUCUUCUCGCAGAUCUAUCGGUGGAAACGCACACGAGAAUUGGACACUACUAAGAUUAUUACCAUUUAUAAUUGGUGCAAAGGUGCCAUUCAGUGAUCCCGCAUGGCAAGUUCUCAUGAUAUUAAAAGAUAUUACUGAACUCGUGGUAUCCCCGAUUCAUACCGAGGACAGUAUAAGUUAUCUUGAUGCAUUGAUAUCUGAACGUUGCCAUAGACUGCUGGAAGUUUUUCCUGACUUUAAGUUAACUCCUAAGUUCCAUUUCUUGGAACAUUAUCCAGACAUGAUAAAAAUGCUUUGGACCUUUGGUUUGUGUCUGGACUAUGCGCUUUGAGGCAAAGCAUAGUUUUUUCAAGCGUAUUGGUAGACACACAAACAGUUUCAGAAACAUUCUACUCAGUCUCGCCACAAAGCACCAAAUGAUGAUGUCAUAUCAUUUACAUGCUGAUGCUUUGAAACCUGCAUUAUGUGUGAGUAAAGUAACUAGUAUUCCAUUGGCAUUGCUGCAUGAGGAAAUACAGGAGUCUUUUAAAAAAGUAUAUCCAACACAAACCACAGUGGAGCUGACAAAUGCACUGUCAUAUCAUGGAACCAGAUAUGCAGUUGGGAUGAUUUUGCCUCAUGGUGCUACCGGUGGUCUACCCGAUUUUGUGGAAAUUUCACAAAUUGUGAUUGUAGGCAGUGAUCUUACUUUCAUUGUUAAGUUGCUUAACAGUUGGUAUUAUGAACAUUUUAGGGGAUUUGUUUUGGAGCACUCUGGGAAGGUGACUCUGCUGCACAUACAGCAACUUAGUGAUACAUACCCCUUGGCAGCAUACUGUGUGGGAGGGAAACGCAUGGUCAGUUUAAAAAGACACAUUAUUGUCCAGUAGUAGGUGAAAAAGCUAAAAGCAUCAACGGUACAGCAAUCCUACUCUGAUUUCCAGUUGUGAAUUGUUUUCAUACAGAUGGACCCUGUUGUUGUGAAGGUGAUUAUAGAUCAUCAUAGUGAGAAGCUCACACUGUCAUCAGGGAUGCCAGACACAGUGGAGCAAUUGCAUAAGACUGUGAAGGACACUUUCCAGAUCCAUGAGGAAUUCACCCUCCACUACUUUGACGAGGACUUUGGUGAUUUCUUCACAAUUCAUUCUACUAACGAGGUUAAACAUAAGGGGACAAUCAAGGUGGUCAUUAUUCCAUCCAUAGUGCUCUCAUUAGCAACACCGGAGACUGAAAAUGUGGCAGAUGCAGACAAUGUGAGUGACACCUCCAGUUUGACUUCAAAAACACUGUCUUCACAGUCAUCCUCUAGUUCUGCUGACUACCAGUCAGAUGGCACAUCAUCAGUGUCAUCACAAGGCACUGUCUUACUAAGCCCCGAAAGGGUAUUGUGGCCAAGUGAAAUUGAAAUUCCACGUUUUUCAGUUGCAACAGAGGCAGUACUGAGGAAUGCGAAUGAACAAUUUUUGAAAAAUGGAACUGUCCUCAACAACCCCAAGUUGAAGUCUGAAAUACUGGAAAGGCUGGCAGAUUACAUGUACAGUUACACUGCCUAUCCCACAGGCCUUCAGGUCGGACAGGUUGCAGAAGCCUUAGUCCAAAAACACCCAUGUCUAACAGAACCUGGAAGUCGCAACGGAUGGAUUGGAUGGAUGUACAGCCUAAAAUACAAGAUGGGGAAUUAUAGGUCCAAGUUAAGAAAUCUUGGAUUUCCUGAAGUUACGUGCAAUUCUCUCAAAAACAAGCGUCCUGGUGAGAGGAAACCAGCCCAAAAUGUUAAAAAAGCACGCAAAGGGGAAGUGAUGUAUCUCCCACAUUAUCCUUCAGGAGAAAGCAGUGAACACCAAGAGCAACAGCGGCUCAAAAUUCUGUCUGAAUUAAAGAAGAGAGAGAGGCCAACCAUCAAUGGAUUGAUGUCCAACACUUUUGCUCAUCGAAGACAGGAUGUUGUUAGUCUUCAACUGAGCAUCAAGGAGAUCAAGGAAAGGUGGCCUGCCUUGUUCGAUGUGUCACAGGUCAACGCUGAGUUCCAUCGAAUUACCACCGUAAAUCUUGAGGCCAAAUUCAUGUUCAUGUUAGACCAUAACACCCCUAAACUGCUUGCCAUCUUCCAAGCCAAGAAAGGUGCUGCUGGAGAGAGACAUCGUACAGAAAUGAAUAUUCUACUCCAGAGUGGAAUUCCCAUAGAGAAAACCAGAGAAGUUGUCAUCCGAUGUCUCAUUGAUCACCUGGGUGAAGAUGUGGGUGCCUUAAUCAAGGAGUUUGAGAAUUUUGGUGAUUCAGCGGUCAAUGUGGAAGAAGAGCUGGCAGCAGAGACGAUGGCUCUGUACCUUGUGCGUGAUGAAGAUGGACAAGUCAGGGAUGUAGGUAUCGUCAUUGAGGGUUCCACCGUACUCAACCACCUUGGGGAUCUCAGCAGAGCCUGCGGCUACUUGCUUGGACUAACUUAUGCCUUGGACCUCAAAUACCCCAAAACUCUUAAAUACAUUUUUGAAGUAUUUCAAAAGAUGCUCGUUGAAGUGGAUGCUGGAAACCUGUCAACAAAGGUGCAACGACUGAAAAACAAUGUAAUGAUAUAGUUGUCUGUGGGGUAGAUGAGCACAGAUGAGACUCAUACAACUGAACCAUGUGUGUAAGGCAAAAAACAGACUGUACGCUCAGUAAUUAGUGAGGUUCUUCUGGACAGAAAUUUGGACAAUCUAUGGCUUCAUUUCGUCAAACCACCUCCAGGUGUUGUCUGACUGAUUGUUGAUGUUUUUUUGAUUGUACAUUUACAUUUUGCAUUAAUAUGCGUUUGAUUUUUUUCUUCAAUCAUUCGGAGGCGUGAGGCAUCCAAUUUUUGAGUUUCGAGUCAAGAGUUUCAAGGCAUUUUCACCAGAAGUGACUUAAAUGUUGUACUUCUAAAGGAGGAAGUAGUUUUUGUAUUUCCAGUUUGGAGUAUCUGUAAUUCUGAGAAAUGCAGGUGUUUAAAAAAGCAUAAGAGAUGACCAAUGUAUUGUCAUAUCUAAAUGUGAAGCCAAAUAUGCUGUGGAGAUGAUUUUGCCCUUGUGUCACAGAUGUGAUGGGCCCAGUUACUAGUCAUCAAUGUGUUUAGUGUGAAGAUUACCCCUUGCAUUAAUAUGCAUCUUUAAUAUGUAUCUUUUUCAUGGCCAUUUGGCAAGAAGCAUUUUAGUUCAGAGGCGUUUGAUCUUGGGUAUCCUGAAUUGCCUUUCUUGUAAUAGCUUCGAAUGUGCUGCUGUAGGUUGUGUACACAUAACUUGAGUGGUAAGACAGACGGACAAGUUGCGAUAUGUGAUCUAGCUCCAGUUCUUAGGGAGAAGUUGCCAUGCUAAGUAUUUUAAAAAUUCCUUAUUGAAAUGCACUUUCAUGUAUUAGGUAUAUGCAUAUACUGGAAAAAAAUGUAAUUUUCUGUGGGAAAAAUGUUUUAAAAUAAAGUUUAAUGUUUUGUGAGAUCUUGGUCAUAUUUGUAUAUGUAUAUAGUAGUAGUAUGUAUAUAGUACUGAAUAUCCUCAAAUCAAAUACAGCAAGUUUAAAAAAUCAAUCAGUACAACAAAUUUUUUUAGUAAGUCAUUAGAAAAUUUGCAAUUAUCUCCUACAAAUGUUUUCAAUUAUAUUUACUCAGUUUUUUUAGUGCUUUCUACUCACGUUUUCUGUAUGGUUUACACAGUAUUUCAGUUACAUUUACUCAAUUUAUGUGGUGUUUGUGCCAAGUCAAAUCAUUCAGAUGUAAUUGAAAAUAUUACUUACUCAUUACUCAUUAAUAGAUUUACUCAAUACUCAUGUUUUG